UUAUGUUUUCUUCAUUUUCUUCUGGGAUUCUUGUUGUUGAAGGUUGACGGGGAUGAUAUGAAGAUGAAAAAGAGGAGAAU
rnacentral:pre_miRNA from 1 species